rnacentral:misc_RNA from 1 species
GAUGAAGAACGCAGCGAAAUGCGAUAAGUAGUGUGAAUUGCAGAAUUCAGUGAAUCAUCGAAUCUUUGAACGCACAUUGCGCCCCCUGGUAUUCCGGGGGGCAUGCCUGUUCGAGCGUCAUUUCACCACUCAAGCCUCGCUUGGUAUUGGGCAACGCGGUCCGCCGCGUGCCUCAAAUCGACCGGCUGGGUCUUCUAUCCCCUAAGCGUUGUGGAAACUAUUCGCUAAAGGGUGUUCGGGAGGCUACGCCGUAAAACAACCCCAUUUCUAAGGUUGACCUCGGAUCAGGUAGGGAUACCCGCUGAACUUAAGCAUAUCAAAGCGGAGGA